UGCGCAGGCGGAAUAAUAAGUCAGUGGUGAAAUCUCUCGGCUCAACCGAGAAACUGCCAUUGAUACUGUUAUUCUUGAGUAUAGUUGUAGUGCGCGGAAUAUAGCAUGUAGCGGUGAAAUGCUUAGAUAUGCUAUAGAACACCGAUCGCGAAGGCAGCUCACUAAACUAUAACUGACGCUCAGGCACGAAAGCGUGGGGAGCAAACAGGAUUAGAUACCCUGGUAGUCC
rnacentral:rRNA from 1 species